CUGGGCCCACAAAGUGUUCGGUCCUGGCACACUGCUCAGGGUCACAGCUAAAAGCCCUGAUGAAGACACUUCCCCCAAGCCCACGAUUUUUCUUCCUUCAAUUGCUGAAAGAAAACUCCACAAGGCUGGAACGUAUCUUUGUCUUCUUGAGGAUUUUUUCCCUGAUGUUAUCAAUAUAGAUUGGAAAGAGAAAAAUGGCAGAGUAAUAUUGAAAUCCCAGCAGGGAGACACCAUGAAGACUAAGGACACAUACAUGAAAUACACCUGGCUGACCGUGAGAGAAGACUCAAUGGGUAAAGAACACAAAUGUAUCGUCAAACACCAGAAGAAUAAAGGAGGGGUUGAUCAAGAGAUUCUUUUUCCUUCAAUAAACACAGAUUUGGUGACGGGAUCCAAAGUGGGCUUCCAGAAGGAAUCAGAGACAAGUAGAAACACAAGGCCGGUAACCGUGAGCCCUUCGAGUACACUGUCUGCAUCACCAUUUUCAAGUGCCGCGGAGCUCACUGCUGUUAACUCUACAGAAUCUUCUUUGAAAGACAAAAAUGGUGAAACUAACCGAUGGCUUCCUUUAGACCCCCUGCAGCUGCAGCUGGUGAACACCUCUGCCUACUGCACCUACCUCCUCCUCCUCGUCAAGAGCAUGGUCUACACCGUCAUCACGGCCAUCUGUCUGCUUGGGAGAGCGGCACUCUGUGACAAUGGGAAGAGUUCCUGACCCGUGGUGGCACAGGGUCCAUGUUUCUCCAUUGACUGUUGUCACUAAAAGUGUCUGCUGUGGGUCUAGCGGGGCUUUCUUUCUGGGUGGUUCAUUUCAGUUCACACGUUGUCUUUUUCUAUGUGUCAUCAUUGCAGAAUGGGUUUGCAAACUCCUGGGCAAACAGGAAAUGUUACUCUGCACCAAGAACAGACUCUGCCAUGAGUCAGGGGCGGGGCCGGGGGGCACCCACGGGGGCUUCAGCACCGCUCUCUCCUUCUUGCCCACCAGCUGGUCAGCCGCCCAGCACCCUCGCCUCUGAGUACACUUGGCGUGCAGCUUCCAUAGUGUCCCCUGGGGCUCUGUAUGCAGAUAACUGCCUGGAGGCCUUUUGUUUUACAUUUUUGGAAGCUGCCAUCUUUGCUACCUGAGUUUUGUUCUGUUGUUCAUAACAGGCAUAAUAAAAAUAAUCAAAAGUGUAC